GCCAUAGCUUAAUGGUAGCGCAUCUGCUUUGCAUGCAGGAGGUCCCUGGUUCAAUUCUCAACAUCCCUAGGUAGUACU